rnacentral:tRNA from 1 species
UGUAGCUUAGAGGUAGAGCACUUGUCUAAUAUGCAGGAAGUCCUGGGUUUAAUUCCCAGUA